UGGCGACUCCUCACUCUUUCCCACUUCGGUGAGGGUUCGUUCAGGCGACCGCAAAACACCUUGCAACACUUCCUGAAACUUGCUUAAUUUAGCAUCUAAUUGUAUCCUUCCAAAUCAUUGUAAUUAGUUUAAAAUCAUUCAUUUGACAUUCUCAUUGAUGUUUACUUAGCUAUGGUCAUGUUAAUUACAAUAUUUUACCUGUUUACUGUUUCUUAUUCUAGGCAAAUUAUAAACAAACCUGGGUCUAACCUGGCUUAGGAUUUUCACCUCUUGGCCCAUUCUCUGGUUGACCUGCCCAAAAUCUUGGGCCUAGUUCAUUGACUAGGCUUAGCCCAAUUUCAAAAAAAAUAUUAAAAUUAUAU
rnacentral:misc_RNA from 1 species